AGGGAAUCUUCCACAAUGGACGCAAGUCUGAUGGAGCAACGCCGCGUGAGUGAAGAAGGUCUUCGGAUCGUAAAGCUCUGUUGUUGGUGAAGAAGGAUAGAGGCAGUAACUGGUCUUUAUUUGACGGUAAUCAACCAGAAAGUCACGGCUAACUACGUGCCAGCAGCCGCGGUAAUACGUAGGUGGCAAGCGUUGCCCGGAUUUAUUGGGCGUAAAGCGAGCGCAGGCGGAAUGAUAAGUCUGAUGUGAAAGCCCACGGCUCAACCGUGGAACUGCAUCGGAAACUGUCAUUCUUGAGUGCAGAAGAGGAGAGUGGAACUCCAUGUGUAGCGGUGGAAUGCGUAGAUAUAUGGAAGAACACCAGUGGCGAAGGCGGCUCUCUGGUCUGCAACUGACGCUGAGGCUCGAAAGCAUGGGUAGCGAACAGGAUUAGAUACCCUGGUAGUCCAUGCCGUAAACGAUGAGCGCUAGGUGUUGGGGACUUUCCGGUCCUCAGUGCCGCAGCAAACGCAUUAAGCGCUCCGCCUGGGGAGUACGACCGCAAGGUUGAAAC
rnacentral:rRNA from 1 species